rnacentral:misc_RNA from 1 species
UUUCUUGUGCUAUACGGAGAUUCCUGUAUUUGCUACCUACGCUUAAAGGAACGGUGCCGCUCGYUACCCUUUCCUUCCCCGAGCAUGCGCUCGUGGGGAGGACAUCGUAGUAGCGCCUGUGCCCCUCGCWUCGAACAUGCCGCAAGGCGCGAACGUUGCGACGGUUCUCGGGUUGCUACUUGAUGGUUCGGAUACGGAACAUUCGGUGGGCUUGGGUGUCUCGACACCUUUCGAUGUCCAAAUUCAAGCGUUUUGUCGCUAGACAUGUACGACUGCCACGCUCGCUGCGGGUCUCCCGCGCGGCGCGUGGCGUCGGCAAAGGAAUGCUACCUGGUUGAUCCUGCCAGUAGUCAUAUGCUUGUCUCAAAGAUAAGCCAUGCA